AUGGCGACCAAGCCCAGCUACCAGUACCAGUACCAAGCACGGCCGUUGCUGCUGCGAGCAACCCUAUUAGUCAUCCUUGCCGCCGCCGCUGAAGCUCAAGGGGGUUGCCGCCACAAGUGCGGCCACAUCGACAUCCCUUUCCCGUUCGGCAUCGGCGUCAGCCCCGGCUGCUUCCGCGAUGGAUUCGAGGUAUUGUGCGACGACGCCUACAAUCCCCCUCGCGCCUUCCUUCCUGGCGAAAAAAUCAAACGCGUGGCCAACUACUCCACGGCUCUGGACAUGUAUCAGAAUUCGUGGUCGCUGGUCGAGCUCAAGAGCAUAUCAGUCGCCACGGGCGAGGUGCAAGCACACGUCCCCCGUCUCGUUCCGGUGCAGCACAGAUUCCAACGGGAGCUACUUCUCGGAGCAGCAGACGAUGGAUUUCUCCUACUCGGUGUUCGCCGUGUCUGCGACGCGUAACAUCCUCAUCGGUGUGGGCGUCAACGUCGAGACUGUGCUGCUUCAUGAGCCACGGGGCGGCUCAACCUUUACUGAAUUGUCUUGCAGUGCAAGAGUUCUUGUCCAAAGCCCGACCGCGAGGAAUGGGUCGUGCAGGGGCCGGGCCGGGGGUGCUGCGAGGAGCCACUCCCGCCCGACGACUUCCUCGGCAGGCAGUACAGCUUGGACGUCGGGGGCAAGCGCUACAAAACCGAGUUGCAAGCCUACCCAUGCUCUUACGGCAUGCUUGUGGAGAAGUCAUGGUACAACUUCUCCACGCUGGACAUGCGCGGCGACAGGGAGCUGCUAAAAAUGAACCCUCGGGGCGUCCCCCUUGUGCUCGAUUUCACCGCCGGGAACACUUUGUCUUCGGCGGCAGGACAUGCCCUUCAGCCGACGCGGGAUUACGCCUGUGUUAGCUACAACAGCUCUUGUGCCAACACAUCAUUUUCCGGUACCAACUACAUCUGCAAGUGCUCGGAGCAUUACACUGGCAACCCUUACAUCCCUGACGGAUGCCAAGACAUUGAUGAGUGCAAACUCCCCGAACUCUACAACUGCACAAGUGGCGGGGUCUGCAAAAACAGGCUGGGAGGCUAUGACUGUCCAUGUGCAUUCGGAAUGAAAGGUGAUGGCAAACUGGGAACCUGCACAGAUAUAUUCCCCCUACCAGCAAAGGCGGCUGUGGGUGUAAUAUGUGGUAUUCUUCUCGUGGCACUUCUAUCGUUUCUUGUUAUUCUUCACCAUGAGAAAAAAAAGACAAAGGAAUUCUACAAGAAAAAUGGCGGCCCUAUACUAGAGCAGGCAAAUACCAUUCAACUUUUCAAAAAGGGGGAACUAAGGCCACUUUUGAAGAAUAGCAAUUUAAUUGGAAAAGGUUGCUUCGGUGAAGUUUACAAGGGCCUUCUUGACGAUAAGGAAGUUGCAAUAAAAAAACCAAUCAAUGGUAGUGUUCUAGAGAGUGAACAAUUUGCAAACGAAGUCAUCAUCCAAUCUCGAGUCAUCCACAAAAACAUUGUUAGACUUAUUGGUUGUUGCCUUGAAGUUGAUGCCCCCAUGCUGGUUUAUGAAUUUAUCUCCCAAGGUAGCCUUGAUGAUAUUCUUCACAACAACAAUAAUAACAAGGUGGCUCUCAACUUGGAUGCACGUCUAAAUAUUGCUGCUCAAUCAGCGGAUGGUCUAGCUUAUAUGCACUCACAAGCAAACACUAGAAUUCUACACGGUGAUGUCAAACCAGUAAAUAUACUCUUGGAUGAUAACUUUGCACCUAAAAUAUCAGACUUUGGCAUAUCUAGGUUGCUGGGAAGAGACAAGGAACACACCGCAUCUGUCAUCGGAGACAAGAAUUAUAUGGAUCCGGUAUAUCUACAAGAGGGCCUGCUCACCGAAAAAAGUGAUGUCUACAGUUUUGGAGUUGUGAUCCUGGAGCUUAUUAGCAGCAGGAGGGCCAUACAUUCUGAGAGUAAUGGAUUGGUAAAGAGCUUUCUUGAAGCCCAUAAGAAACAAGAGAAAGCGACUGAGCUUUUUGACAAGGAAAUUGCAAUAGCAGAAGAUUUAGAGCUUCUUGACAGUCUAGCAGGUAUGGCCAUGGAGUGCCUUAGCCUUGAUGUAGAUAAAAGACCGACGAUGAUGGAGGUAGCUCAGCGACUACACAUACUGAGUCGAUCUCAUAAGGUGCAAGAUGUUUGUCACUAA
rnacentral:rRNA from 1 species